rnacentral:lncRNA from 1 species
CUCAAGGUUGCAUCAACUUCCGGGGUGCCUUAUCAGCCUAAGUUUGAGGGGUGUCUUUCAUCCACUACCAUUUAUCCCGGAUUCGUCCAACCAUUUCUCAUCACUCUGUACACACAAGUAACUUCCGGGGUGCCUUAUCAGCCUAAGUUUGAGGGGUGUCUUUCAUCCACUACCAUUUAUCCCGGAUUCGUCCAACCAUUUCUCAUCACUCUGUACACACAAG